rnacentral:ncRNA from 1 species
AGACCGCCAGCUAAGGUCCCAAAGAUUGGCUAAGUGGAAAACGAAGUGGGAAGGCUAAAACAGUCAGGAGGUUGGCUUAGAAGCAGCCAUCCUUUAAAGAAAGCGUAAUAGCUCACUGAUCGAGUCGUCCUGCGCGGAAGAUGUAACGGGGCUAAGCCAGUCACCGAAGCUGCGGAUAUCCGCAAGGAUAU